rnacentral:lncRNA from 1 species
UCUUCUUGGGCGAAGCGCGAACGAGAGAGAUCGGAAGGGACAAGACAAGAGAUACCAAGCUUCCAGUUGGUUGCCUUCGGAAGGAAAGGGCUUAGCGGCGGUGAAUUGUGAGUUCCUUCUUUUUGUAAUCUUAGCUCACUGUUUGGUUCCUCGGGAAAUCCAUUACGCCAUCAAUUCCGUUUUCGGUGUUUUUGAUCGAUUAAGUUCUACGAUUUUAGCAUGAUGCGCCGAGGAAUGCUCUUCUUCUCUCCAGACAUCCUCGAUAUUUUGAUACAGAAAAGUUUACUCUCCACAGAGAUUGUUAAUCAGAAUUAUCGGAUUUACGCUGCUUAUUUGGAAAUGUCUUCGCGGAAUGUAUCAUACUCAUCUGCCGUUCUCACGAUAUAAAAUGAUAACUUCGUAGUUUGUUAAAACAUUCCGUUCUUGUGAUCGCACUUCGUCUCCCUUGUUAUUAUUAUAACAUGCUACCCGCGAAAAAUAUCGAGUACGACUGGGCCGCAUGAAACGAACAUAAUCUAUAUCCGGGACCCCGAUCAACGUGGCAUGCUGUAAAUUUGACUACUUCUAGAUCAUCUAAAGGUGAUUUUUCACAUUUCUAAAGUCAGUUGACAAAUGGUCUUACGUGAGAUAAUGUCGGGAUAGUACUGUCAUCCAAAAAUAUAGGAAAUUCGGCUAAAUUUUCUAUGUUAGGGCUGAAUUAUGUGUUAUAUGCAUGAAGCUUACGAUGGCUCCGAAAUACACCACCCAUCGAAUGCUGAACUUAAACUAUUUAACAUCAUUUUAUCUUCAUUUUCGGUCAUUUGACUUGACUUGUCGACGGUUUUUCUCAUGCCUGCAGCCUUGUCGUCUUUCUCUGCUUCAGCCAAGUCACUUCAGCGAGGCGUUGACGAGCCCUUCAGAACUGUACGCCCCCGUGGUAAUCGUCAGAAUGUACCCGUUCUACAGGUACAUGGACAUGUACGGAGACAAAACCUCACAAGCACAGCAUCCCUUCCCCAGCUGGGAUCCACCAUUCAACUACUUUGGCCAUCCUCCGGCCGAUUAUAAUCCAAAGCCGACACAUCCUCUUCAUCAACCACCUCAGCAGUAUUUCCUCGGACCAUA